UGCCAGCAGCCGCGGUAAUACGUAAGGGGCGAGCGUUAUUCGGAACUACUGGGCGUAAAGGGCAUGUAGGCGGUUAAUUAAGCGGAUUGUGAAAGACUAAGGCUCAACUUUAGGAACGCGGUCCGAACUGGUUGACUAGAAUCUAGUGGAAGGCAUUGGAAUUUCCUGUGGAGCGGUGGAAUGCAUAGAUAUAGGAAGGAACAUCAAAGGCGAAGGCAAGUGUCUAUGCUAAGAUUGACGCUGAGGUGCGAAAGUGUGGGGAUCAAAUAGGAUUAGAUA
rnacentral:rRNA from 1 species